GGAUUAGAUACCCUGGUAGUCCUAGCUGUAAACGAUGGAUACUAGACGUAGGAACUGGAUUGACGGUUUCUGUGUCGCAGCUAACGCGUUAAGUAUCCCGCCUGGGGAGUACGGUCGCAAGACUAAAACUCAAAUGAAUUGACGGGGACCCGCACAAGUAGUGGAGCAUGUGGUUUAAUUCGAAGAUACGCGCAGAACCUUACCAACACUUGACAUGUUCGUCGCGGCUCUAAGAGAUUAGAGCUUUCGGUUCGGCCGGACGAAACACAGGUGCUGCAUGGCUGUCGUCAGCUCGUGCCG
rnacentral:rRNA from 1 species